CUAGAGUUGAUUUGUUUUGAUAUUAUUAGAAUGAACUGGCAGUUUAUGAAAACACAUCUGUCAUCUCAUAUUGUAAUAUGAUAAUUAUGAUGUUUAUUCACCUCAUUAAGGACCCGGGGGUGGGAGGGUAUGUACAGUUUAAAUAGAAGGUAACUAUAACAAUAUGAAAUAAAUAACAAUCAUGCAGAUGUACUACUACUGCAAGAGUUCACAUUGCUGCACUGCACACAUUUAACAUACAUGUAGUGUUACAUAUCUAAUACUGAUUUCAGACAAGAUUUUAAAAAUUAACAUCAUAAAAUACAUGUUAUGUGUGUAAUUUUCAAUAUAUCAGCAUUUUAAAGUUCACUAAACAUGCAUUGAGACACACAAUUUUAAAAUUGACAUUGUCUGACACAGUAUAAUUAAUGAUUAAUACUGACAGUGCAAAUAUUAAUUAUGAUGAUUUUUUUCUAAGCAUCAUCCUAAGGACCAGUGCAAGUUGAAAUGGGCUUCCAGCCAACAACUUCAACAGCAAUUUGCCAUGAAAAUCAGCAAGAAAGGUACUUCAUUUACAUUGAUGAUGUCAUAUCCCCUGAACCCCACAACUUUACAGGUUACAGAGAAAAUUCAAGAACUUCUGCACAAUGUGGGACUCGGAUAGAAUCAAUAAUGUAUUUGUGAGCCCAGAUAUAUUGUGCAA